rnacentral:rRNA from 1 species
UACAGAGGGGGCAAGCGUUAUUCGGAAUUAUUGGGCGUAAAGGGCGCGUAGGCGGCCCGCUAAGUCGAACGUGAAAUCCCCAGGCUCAACCUGGGAACUGCGUCCGAUACUGGCAGGCUUGAAUCCGGGAGAGGGAUGUGGAAUUCCAGGUGUAGCGGUGAAAUGCGUAGAUAUCUGGAGGAACACCGGUGGCGAAGGCGGCAUCCUGGACCGGUAUUGACGCUGAGGCGCGAAAGCUAGGGGAGCAAACGGG